rnacentral:rRNA from 1 species
GGGUGGGCACUCUAAGGAGACUGCCGGUGACAAACCGGAGGAAGGUGGGGAUGACGUCAAGUCAUCAUGGCCCUUACGGCCAGGGCUACACACGUGCUACAAUGGUCGGUACAGAGGGUUGCCAAGCCGCGAGGUGGAGCUAAUCCCAUAAAACCGAUCGUAGUCCGGAUCGCAGUCUGCAACUCCCCUGCGUGAAGUCGGAGAUGCUAGUAAUCGUGAAUCAGAAUGUCACGGUGAAUACGUUCCCGGGCCUUGUACACACCGCCCGUCACACCAUGGGAGUGGGUUGCUCCAGAAGUAGCUAGUCUAACCGCAAGGGGGACGGUUACCACGGAGUGAUUCAUGACUGGGGUGAAGUCGUAACAAGUCAGCCGUAGGGGAACCUGCGGCUGGAUCACCUCCGUAAGCUUGGAUCCCGGG